GUGGGGAAUAUUGGGCAAUGGGGGAAACCCUGACCCAGCAACGCCGCGUGAAGGAAGAAGGUCUUCGGAUCGUAAACUUCUAUCCUUGGUGAAAAUAAUGAUGGUAGCCAAGAAGGAAGCCCCGGCUAACUACGUGCCAGCAGCCGCGGUAAUACGUAGGGGGCAAGCGUUGUCCGGAAUGAUUGGGCGUAAAGGGCGCGUAGGCGGCCUGGUAAGUCUGGAGUGAAAGUCCUGCUUUUAAGGUGGGAAUUGCUUUGGAUACUGUCGGGCUUGAGUGGAGGAGAGGUAAGUGGAAUUCCCGGUGUAGCGGUGAAAUGCGUAGAGAUCGGGAGGAACACCAGUGGCGAAGGCGACUUACUGGACUGUAACUGACGCUGAGGCGCGAAAGUGUGGGGAGCAAACAGGAUUAGAAACCCUAGUAGUCC
rnacentral:rRNA from 1 species